rnacentral:lncRNA from 1 species
GACGCAGGAGUGUGAGUCAGAGAAAGAGAGAGAUUUGAAGAUACUACACUGCUGGUUUUGAAGAUGGAAGAAGAGGCCACAAGCCAAGGAAUGCAGGUGAACCCAGAAGUGGAAACCAAAGCUGAGCAAGGUGCUGCCAGUACUCUAAACACCUUCACCUGCAGAGCAUUACACAGUUUCGGCAUUGGAACGGAUCUUGAAAAGAUAAUAGGGUCAACUGCAGACCCAAAACUUAAAUCUUCCCUACAACCUCCCUCCAAGGUGAAUGGCCAGAGACCACUAGUGACAGGAGACUUGCUGCUUCUCGAAAUAGUCCUUUCUGUCUUGGCACCCUGGAAGACCUCAGAUGAGUAUCCUUUCCAGGUCUUUCUCUGCUCUGAUCUUUAUCUCACAGUCAGCAUGACCCAGCCUCAUUAGCCCACUGGUUUCCAGUUGGGUUUGAUCAAUGGGAGACAAUUCCAGAAGAUAAGAAGCAAGUGGAAGCUUACUUCUUCGGUGUAAGCAGAAGAGACUGAGUUAUUUAUUCUCGCUUCUUGGCAAACCGAUUCUGGCAGAGGCUGUGAUAGAUCCUAUAAGCCGGUUCCUCUUCGGUGGCUUCAGCUGGCUCCUGGUUCCAGUUACACAAACUCCUCCCUACGCCUUUAGGCCCUAGGAUGGUGACAUCCUGCUGCUGCUCUUCCCUGGGUGCUUCAACAUCCCUUACUAAUACCCUAACUCUACCCGCAUCUCUGUAAAUAGCUCCUUUGAGGAAUCCUCCUUAAAAUCCCAGUGUAAUAGGACUUCUGUUUGUUGGGACCCUGGCUUAUAGACUGGUCUUCCUGCUUGCACUCCUGGCCUCCCACAGUGAUCCUUCUCAAACAUGAGUCACAUCAUAUCAUUCCUCUGCUCAAAAACCCUCUGGCGGCUUCUAUCUCACUGAGACUCCUUGCAAUGACUUAAAAGGUUUCUAUCUCAAUCCUUUCAAAUCAACUGUAGCUUUGUAUAACAAAUGUUUUUAGUUCUCAUGAAAUGAAAGCGUGUAUAUAUAUAUAUAUUAAUUUCAGAAAAUAUUAAUAUGAUGAAUAAAAGGAAAAUAGUAAUAAAAUAAUAUAAAUUUCAGCAUUAAAAUAUUCAGCAUGACCACAACUAGACCACAUAAUGAAAUGGUCAGAGGAUUUCAUCUAUAUCUAGAACCACCAA